rnacentral:rRNA from 1 species
CAGUAGCCGCGGGAAUACGGAGGGAGCUAGCGUUGUUCGGAAUUACUGGGCGUAAAGCGCGCGUAGGCGGUUACUCAAGUCAGAGGCGAAAGCCCGGGGCUCAACCCCGGAACUGCCUUUAAAACUAGGUGACUAGAAUCUUGGAGAGGUCAGUGGAAUUCCGAGUGUAGAGGUGAAAUUCGUAGAUAUUCGGAAGAACACCAGUGGCGAAGGCGACUGACUGGACAAGUAUUGACGCUGAGGUGCGAAAGCGUGGGGAGCAAACAGGAUUAGAUACCCCCGUAGUCCCUGUCUCUUAUAA